AGCCCCCGGCAGCAGGGGUUGGGGGCGCUGGCCCCGGCUCCGAAUUUGCAGCGAGGCCCGGAAAUCAGUCCCGUUAGAGCCGAUUUCACCCAUCAGGAAUGCGCUCCGCCCCCGCCGCCUCCCCGAGGCGGCUGCCCUCGGUGUCGCCAGCUUGAGGGGCUGAGGAAGUGCUCGAGGGGAGCGCCGCCUGGGUGCGUCACAACACUGCCCGUCGGCGGCCCUUCCACAGACCGCCGGGGCCAGGACAGGGCUCGGGGCGGAUCCCACGCUCCGCCUCCGCCCCCGCAGCCAAGGGGACGCCCGCGCCCGGGCCGGCCGGGGGACGCGGAACCAGCCCGAGGCCUGACCCCUGGCCCCGCGCCGAGCACGAAAGGGGGCGCCUUUCCCUUGGGAUUUCCGAAUCCAUUUCCGUCCCUGGGAGGAGCGGGAGGGCAGCGGCCGUGCCAGAGCGCCCUGGGUCGGAAACGGGAGCCGCCCCUGCCCUCCUGCCCCGGCGCACCCUCCUCCCGAGUCCGCCCGUACCUUCAACUCCUCGGAGCCGCGGCCGGCGCAGGGCUGCGGGCGAGCAGGCCCAUCUCUCCGCGGCGGCGGCAGCAGCCUGAGAAGUACGGAGGAGGGUCCUUCAAACCCGCCGAGGAGCCUCUCAGCUGGGGAGCGGGGAACCGAGAGGAGGCGUCCGGACAGCCGCUUUCCCGAACUCCUCCUCCGCACUUCUGUGUUGACGGCUGCUCCCGGGAACCAGCGCCGCAAUUGCCAUUCUCCCCCUCCCUCAGCCCCCGCAGUCCCCGCCUCCUCCUCCCACUCCUUCCUCCCGCCCCCGGCCCGCCCUGCCCCGCCCCGCCGCCCGCGUGCCGUGCGUCAUGGCGUCACGCCCACCGGGCCCGCCGCAGGCGGCUCUGGGACGUGCUCCUUCGCUUAUGCGUGUUCGCCCCGCGCUUGCCUAGGAGCGCCGCGCCUGCGAGCCGGGUGGCCCCGAGCGCGGACCCGCUCCCUGUACCCCGCGCGGGGCAGUCUGCGGCCCUUCCUGCCCCCCAGAGUCACCCCGAGCUGUGGAGCAGGUGUCUCCUGCAAAGACGAGCGGGGGUGGUUGAAGCUGCUCUCAAGGUGAAGGGAAAAUACUGGACUUGGGGACCUGGCUUUUGGCAUUUCGCACGCUAUUAA
rnacentral:lncRNA from 1 species